rnacentral:rRNA from 1 species
UGACCGUCAAGUCUACGACACAUGGACUAGCCAUAGCACAUAGGCACCAUCGGUAUGAUGCUCGUUGAGUCUCGUUAGAAGCGUUAUGUAUGCUCAUAUGACGUAUCAGAGAGCCGGCUACUCGUCCAGCAGCGGUAUCGAGUCGAGCGUUAUCGAUACUGCGUACGCAGCAGCCGUAAUAGUGAGUGUGAAGCCCUGGCUACUGGGAUGCAUUUCAGACUGGUACUAGAGUACUUAGGAGGGUAGAUCACGUGUAGCGUGAAUGCGUAGAGAUGUGAGGAAUACGAAGGCGAAGGCAGCCCCUGGGAAUGUACUGACGCUCAUGUGCGAAAGCGUGGGAGCAAACAGGAUUAGAUACCUGGUAGUCCACGCUGUAAACGCUGUCGAUUUGGGGAUUGGGCUUAAAGCUUGGUGCCCGUAGCUAACGUGAUAAAUCGACCGCUGGGGAGUACGGCCGCAAGGUUAAAACUCAAAUGAAUUGACGGGGGCCCGCACAAGCGGUGGAGCAUGUGGUUUAAUUCGAUGCAACGCGAAGAACCUUACCUACUCUUGACAUCCAUGGAAUCUUAUAGAGAUAUGAGAGUGCCUUCGGGAACCAUGAGACAGGUGCUGCAUGGCUGUCGUCAGCUCGUGUUGUGAAAUGUUGGGUUAAGUCCCGCAACGAGCGCAACCCUUAUCCUUUGUUGCCAGCGAUUCGGUCGGGAACUCAAAGGAGACUGCCAGUGAUAAACUGGAGGAAGGUGGGGAUGACGUCAAAUCAUCAUGCCCCUUAUGACCUGGGCUACACACGUGCUACAAUGGCUGGUACAACGAGUCGCAAGCCGGUGACGGCAAGCUAAUCUCUUAAAGCCAGUCUCAGUUCGGAUUGUAGGCUGCAACUCGCCUACAUGAAGUCGGAAUCGCUAGUAAUCGCGGAUCAGCACGCCGCGGUGAAUACGUUCCCGGGCCUUGUACACACCGCCCGUCACACCACGAGAGUUUGUAACACCCGAAGUCGGUGAGGUAACCGUAAGGAGCCAGCCGCCUAAGGUGGGAUAGAUGAUUGGGGUGAAGUCGUAACAAGGUAGCCGUAUCGGAAGGUGCGGCUGGAACACCUCCUUC